GACGAACGCUGGCGGCGUGCUUAACACAUGCAAGUCGAACGGAAAGGCCCUGCUUUUGUGGGGUGCUCGAGUGGCGAACGGGUGAGUAACACGUGAGUAACCUGCCCUUGACUGUGGGAUAACUUAAGGAAACUGGGGGUAAUACCGGAUAGGAGCUCCUGCUGCAUGGAGGGGGUGGGAAAGUUUCGGCGGUUGGGGAUGGACUCGCGGCUUAUCAGCUUGUUGGUGGGGUAGGGGCUUACCAAGGCUUUGACGGGUAGCCGGCCUGAGAGGGUGACCGGCCACAUUGGGACUGUGAGACGGCGCAGACUCCUACGUACGGCAGCAGUCGGGAAUAUUGCGCAAUGGGCGGAGGCCUGUUUGCGCAAAGUCGCGUGCGGGUUGAUGGCCUUCGGUUUCUAAUCCGCUUUCGCCUGUGAUGACGCGUGAGUGACGGUAAUGUGUACACAAGCACCGGCUACCUACGUG
rnacentral:rRNA from 1 species